GAACGCUGGCGGCGUGCUUAACACAUGCAAGUCGAACGGAAAGGCCCUGCUUGCAGGGUACUCGAGUGGCGAACGGGUGAGGAACACGUGGGUGAUCUGCCCUGCACUUCGGGAUAAGCCUGGGAAACUGGGUCUAAUACCGGAUAGGAGCCAUUUUGAGUGUGAUGGUUGGAAAGUGUUUUUGGUGUAGGAUGAGCCCGCGGCCUAUCAGCUUGUUGGUGGGGUAAUGGCCUACCAAGGCGGCGACGGGUAGCCGGCCUGGGGGGGUGGACGGCCACAGUGGGGCUGAGGUGCGGCCCAGGCUCCUACGGGGGGCAGCAGUGGGGAAUAUUGCGCCAGGGGCGCCAGCCUGAUGCAGCGGCGCCGCGUGGGGGAUGACGGCCUUCGGGUUGUAAACUCCUUUCGCGAGGGACGAAGCUUUUUGUGACGGUACCUAGAUAAGAAGCACCGGCUAACUACGUG
rnacentral:rRNA from 1 species